CCUACGGGAGGCAGCAGUAGGGAAUCUUCCACAAUGGGCGAAAGCCUGAUGGAGCAACGCCGCGUGGGUGAAGAAGGUCUUCGGAUCGUAAAACCCUGUUGUUAGAGAAGAAAGUGCGUGAGAGUAACUGUUCACGUUUCGAUGGUAUCUAACCAGAAAGCCACGGCUAACUACGUGCCAGCAGCCGCGGUAAUACGUAGGUGGCAAGCGUUAUUCGGAUUUAUUGGGCGUAAAGGGAACGCAGGCGGUCUUUUAAGUCUGAUGUGAAAGCCUUCGGCUUAACCGGAGUAGUGCAUUGGAAACUGGGAGACUUGAGUGCAGAAGAGGAGAGUGGAACUCGAUGUGUAGCGGUGAAAUGCGUAGAUAUAUGGAAGAACACCGAUGGCGAAAGCAGCUCUCUAGUCUGUAACUGACGCUGAGGUUCGAAAGCGUGGGUAGCAAACAGGAUUAGAUACCCGAGUAGUC
rnacentral:rRNA from 1 species